CUCGUGUCGUGAGAUGUUCGGGGUUAAAGUCCCCGGCAAACGGAGCGGCAACCCCUACGUUUAGUUGCUAACGCGUGAAGGCGAGCACUCUAGACGAACUGCCGUUGACAAACGGAGGAAGGUGGGAUGACGUCAAAUCAUCAUGCCCCUUAUGUUCUGGGCUACACACGUGCUACAAUGGCCGGUACAGACGGACGCAAAGCCGCGAGGUGGAGCAAAUCCUAAAAAGCCCGGUCUCAGUUCGGAUUGCAGGCUGCAAUUCGCCUGCAUGAAGUCGGAAUCGCUAGUAAUCGCAGGUCAGCAUACUGCGGUGAAUACGUUCCCGGGCCUU
rnacentral:rRNA from 1 species